AUUAGGGAGUGGUUCAAUGGGAAUCCAAAUUCCAUCUUUUCUAAUUUGAAGACCUUGAGUUUCAUUGACUUGAAGAAGUAUUGUAAGGCCUGUUGCAUCUGAAUGAGGAGUAAUUCCCAUCACUUUGUCAGGUUGUGGACAUGGUGGAUAGUAAUUCAUCCUCAUUGAUUGCAUUCCUUCUUCAAAAAGACUCUUCACUUCUUUUUCAUCAAUCCCCAAAGCUUUACCCAACAUUUCCAAUACUUUCAUGCUUAGCUUUUUCAUUUCAUC